rnacentral:siRNA from 1 species
CCUUAUGUUGUGCAAUGUAGAUGC